rnacentral:rRNA from 1 species
GAGGUGACCGGCCCCCCUGGGACUGAGACCCGGCCCAGAUUCCUACGGGAGGCAGCAGUGGGAAUAUUGCACAAUGGGCGCAAGCCUGAUGCAGCGACGCCGCGUGAGGGAUGACGGCCUUCGGGUUGUAAACCUUCUUUCAGCAGGAAGAAGCGAAAGUGACGGUACCUGCAGAAGAAGCGCCGGCUAAUUACGUGCCAGCAGCCGCGGUAAUACGUAGGGCGCGAGCGUUGUCCGGAAUUAUUGGGCGUAAAGAGCUUGUAGGCGGUUUGUCGCGUCUGCUGUGAAAGCCCGGGGCUUAACUCCGGGUUUGCAGUGGGUACGGGCUAACUAGAGUGCAGUAGGGGAGACUGGAAUUCCUGGUGUAGCGGUGAAAUGCGCAGAUAUCAGGAGGAACACCGAUGGCGAAGGCAGGUCUCUGGGCUGUAACUGACGCUGAGAAGCGAAAGCAUGGGGAGCGAACAGGAUUAGAUACCCUGGUAGUCCAUGCCGUAAACGUUGGGCACUAGGUGUGGGGGGCAUUCCACGUUUUCCGCGCCGUAGCUAACGCAUUAAGUGCCCCGCCUGGGGAGUACGGCCGCAAGGCUAAAACUCAAAGAAAUUGACGGGGGCCCGCACAAGCGGCGGAGCAUGCGGAUUAAUUCGAUGCAACGCGAAGAACCUUACCAAGGCUUGACAUGUACCGGACCGCUCUAGAGAUAGAGUUUCCCUUCGGGGCUGGUUCACAGGUGGUGCAUGGUUGUCGUCAGCUCGUGUCGUGAGAUGUUGGGUUAAGUCCCGCAACGAGCGCAACCCUCGUUCUAUGUUGCCAGCACGUGAUGGUGGGGACUCAUAGGAGACUGCCGGGGUCAACUCGGAGGAAGGUGGGGAUGACGUCAAAUCAUCAUGCCCCUUAUGUCUUGGGCUUCACGCAUGCUACAAUGGCCGGUACAAUGGGUUGCGAUACUGUGAGGUUGAGCUAAUCCCAAAAAGCCGGUCUCAGUUCGGAUUGGGGUCUGCAACUCGACCCCAUGAAGUCGGAGUCGCUAGUAAUCGCAGAUCAGCAACGCUGCGGUGAAUACGUUCCCGGGCCUUGUACACACCGCCCGUCAAGUCACGAAAGUUGGUAACACCCGAAGCCGAUGGUAGAGCC